CCAAAAUGCAAGUUUGGAGAAGUACCCAAGUCGGUGCCGGGGCUUCUCCCGUUU
rnacentral:tRNA from 1 species